UACGUAGGUGACCAGCGUUGUCCGGAUUUACUGGGCGUAAAGAGCGCGCAGGCGGUCGUUCAAGUCGAGUGUGAAAGCCCCCGGCUCAACUGGGGAGGGUCAUUCGAUACUGAUCGACUCGAAGGCAGGAGAGGGAAGCGGAAUUCCCGGUGUAGUGGUGAAAUGCGUAGAUAUCGGGAGGAACACCAGUGGCGAAGGCGGCAUCCUGGACCAAUUCUGACGCUGAGGAGCGAAAGCCAGGGGAGCAAACGGG
rnacentral:rRNA from 1 species